GACAAACGCUGGCGGCGUGCUUAACACAUGCAAGUCGAACGGAAAGGCUCCAGCUUGCUGGAGUACUCGAGUGGCGAACGGGUGAGUUACACGUGGGUAAUCUGCCCUGCACUCUGGGAUAAGCUUGGGAAACUGGGUCUAAUACUGGAUAUGAUCUUUCUCCUUAUGGGGUUUGGUGGAAAGUUUUUCGGUGUAGGAUGAGCCCGCGGCCUAUCAGCUUGUUGGUGGGGUGAUGGCCACCGAGGCGACGACGGGUCGCCGGCCUGAGAGGGUGAUCGGCCACAUUGGGACUGCGAUACGGCCCAGCCUCCAACGGGAGGCAGCGGUGGGGAGUAUUGCACAAUGGGCGGGAGCCUGAUGCGGCGACGCCGCGUGAGGGAUGACGGCCUUCGGGUUGUAAACCUCUUUCAGCAGGGACGAAGCGUAAGUGACGGUACCUGCAGAAGAAGCACCGGCUAACUAUGUG
rnacentral:rRNA from 1 species